GACGAACGCUGGCGGCGUGCCUAAUACAUGCAAGUCGAGCGGACCGAACAGGAGCUUGCUCUUGUUCGGUUAGCGGCGGACGGGUGAGUAACACGUGGGUAACCUGCCCGUAAGACCGGGAUAACUCCGGGAAACCGGAGCUAAUACCGGAUAACACCGAAGACCGCAUGGUCUUUGGUUGAAAGGCGGCUUCGGCUGCCACUUACGGAUGGGCCCGCGGCGCAUUAGCUAGUUGGUGAGGUAACGGCUCACCAAGGCGACGAUGCGUAGCCGGCCUGAGAGGGUGACCGGCCACACUGGGACUGAGACACGGCCCAGACUCCUACGGGAGGCAGCAGUAGGGAAUCUUCCGCAAUGGACGAAAGUCUGACGGAGCGACGCCGCGUGAGCGAAGAAGGGCUUCGGAUCGUAAAGCUCUGUUGUUAGGGAAGAAGAAGCGUCGUUCGAACAGGGCGGCGCGGUGACGGUACCUAACGAGAAAGCCCCGGCUAACUACGUG
rnacentral:rRNA from 1 species